rnacentral:rRNA from 1 species
UCAAAACUUUCAACAACGGAUCUCUUGGUUCUGGCAUCGAUGAAGAACGCAGCGAAAUGCGAUAAGUAAUGUGAAUUGCAGAAUUCAGUGAAUCAUCGAAUCUUUGAACGCACAUUGCGCCCCCUGGUAUUCCGGGGGGCAUGCCUGUUCGAGUCAUUACA